GGGCGCCUAGCUCAGCUGGUAGAGCACUGCGAUCACACCGCAGGGGUCACAGGUUCGAGUCCUGUGGCGCCCACCA
rnacentral:tRNA from 2 species